rnacentral:tRNA from 1 species
GGAUAUAGCUCAGUGGUAGAACACUUGCCUAGCAUACAUGAGGCCCUGGGUUCAAUCCCCAGCAUACCA